CAUGCAAGUCGACGGAACAAGAAAAGCUUGCUUUUCGGUGUCGAGCGGCGGACGGGUGAGUAAUACUUAGGAAUCUACCUAGUAGUGGGGGAUAGCACGGGGAAACUCGUAUUAAUACCGCAUACGACCUACGGGAGAAAGGGGGCAGUUUACUGCUCUCGCUAUUAGAUGAGCCUAAGUCGGAUUAGCUAGAUGGUGGGGUAAAGGCCUACCAUGGCGACGAUCUGUAGCUGGUCUGAGAGGAUGAUCAGCCACACCGGGACUGAGACACGGCCCGGACUCCUACGGGAGGCAGCAGUGGGGAAUAUUGGACAAUGGGGGAAACCCUGAUCCAGCCAUGCCGCGUGUGUGAAGAAGGCCUUUUGGUUGUAAAGCACUUUAAGCAGUGAAGAAGACUCCAUGGUUAAUACCCAYGGACGAUGACAUUAGCUGCAGAAUAAGCACCGGCUAA
rnacentral:rRNA from 1 species